rnacentral:rRNA from 1 species
AACGAACGCUGGCGGCAGGCUUAACACAUGCAAGUCGAGCGCCCCGCAAGGGGAGCGGCAGACGGGUGAGUAACGCGUGGGAAUCUACCCAUCUCUACGGAAUAACGCAUGGAAACGUGUGCUAAUACCGUAUACGUCCUUCGGGAGAAGGAUUUAUCGGAGAUGGAUGAGCCCGCGUUGGAUUAGCUAGUUGGUGGGGUAAAGGCCUACCAAGGCGACGAUCCAUAGCUGGUCUGAGAGGAUGAUCAGCCACACUGGGACUGAGACACGGCCCAGACUCCUAUGGGAGGCAGCAGUGGGGAAUAUUGGACAAUGGGCGCAAGCCUGAUCCAGCCAUGCCGCGUGAGUGAUGAAGGCCCUAGGGUUGUAAAGCUCUUUCACCGGUGAAGAUAAUGGCGGUAACCGGAGAAGAAGCCCCGGCUAACUUCGUGCCAGCAGCCGCCGUAAAAC